rnacentral:rRNA from 1 species
GACGAACGCUUGCGGCGUGCUUAACACAUGCAAGUCGAACGGAAAGGCCCUGCUUUUGUGGGGUGCUCGAGUGGCGAACGGGUGAGUAACACGUGAGUAACCUGCCCUUGACUUUGGGAUAACUUCAGGAAACUGGGGCUAAUACCGGAUAGGAGCUCCUGCUGCAUGGUGGGGGUUGAAAAGUUUCGGCGGUUGGGGAUGGACUCGCGGCUUAUCAGCUUGUUGGUGGGGUAGUGGCUUACCAAGGCUUUGACGGGUAGCCGGCCUGAGAGGGUGACCGGCCACAUUGGGACUGAGAUACGGCCCAGACUCCUACGGGAGGCAGCAGUGGGGAAUAUUGCACAAUGGGCGGAAGCCUGAUGCAGCAACGCCGCGUGCGGGAUGACGGCCUUCGGGUUGUAAACCGCCUUCGCCUGUGACGAAGCGUGAGUGACGGUAAUGGGUAAAGAAGCACCGGCUAACUACGUGCCAGCAGCCGCGGUGAUACGUAGGGUGCGAGCGUUGUCCGGAUUUAUUGGGCGUAAAGGGCUCGUAGGUGGUUGAUCGCGUCGGAAGUGUAAUCUUGGGGCUUAACCCUGAGCGUGCUUUCGAUACGGGUUGACUUGAGGAAGGUAGGGGAGAAUGGAAUUCCUGGUGGAGCGGUGGAAUGCGCAGAUAUCAGGAGGAACACCAGUGGCGAAGGCGGUUCUCUGGGCCUUUCCUGACGCUGAGGAGCGAAAGCGUGGGGAGCGAACAGGCUUAGAUACCCUGGUAGUCCACGCUGUAAACGGUGGGUACUAGGUGUGGGGUCCAUUCCACGGGUUCCGUGCCGUAGCUAACGCUUUAAGUACCCCGCCUGGGGAGUACGGCCGCAAGGCUAAAACUCAAAGGAAUUGACGGGGCCCCGCACAAGCGGCGGAGCAUGCGGAUUAAUUCGAUGCAACGCGUAGAACCUUACCUGGGUUUGACAUGGAUCGGGAGUGCUCAGAGAUGGGUGUGCCUCUUUUGGGGUCGGUUCACAGGUGGUGCAUGGCUGUCGUCAGCUCGUGUCGUGAGAUGUUGGGUUAAGUCCCGCAACGAGCGCAACCCUUGUUCACUGUUGCCAGCACGUUAUGGUGGGGACUCAGUGGAGACCGCCGGGGUCAACUCGGAGGAAGGUGGGGAUGACGUCAAGUCAUCAUGCCCCUUAUGUCCAGGGCUUCACGCAUGCUACAAUGGCUGGUACAGAGAGUGGCGAGCCUGUGAGGGUGAGCGAAUCUCGGAAAGCCGGUCUCAGUUCGGAUUGGGGUCUGCAACUCGACCUCAUGAAGUCGGAGUCGCUAGUAAUCGCAGAUCAGCAACGCUGCGGUGAAUACGUUCCCGGGGCU